CACGGCGGUAUGAAAUUAGCUGUUGGCAUCGAACACGCAAUGAUUUCUGGGAAUAUGAAAGGGGAACCAUAUUUUACAGUGUCAACUACUGGAUAUUUAUGUGAUUGCUGUGAAUUAACAAUAUAGAUAUAUGAAAGUGAUAGUUUGUGAAUAGUAUUCAUGUGGUCGGAGAUACAUUAUUAUGCAGUUGAACUUUAAAGGUUUACAGAAGAUGCUCCUUUGUGGUAUUUUUCAUAAGAGCAGAAGGAAAAUUUAGUAACACAGGUGUUGGGUUAAUCUCAGUUGCAGAUUUUUGUGAAAACAUAUUUCUAGUGAUAAGUUUCCGUUCCCAGUUCAUCCAUUGAUUGUAAUGCGAAUUUUUUCAAACAGCGAUUAUACAAAGGGAAAAAAGACGAAAUGCAGGCAUAUUGUUCUAUAAGAAGAGGCACGCAGUGUGGGCCGAUAAUGUACAGGCAGGAUGGCCGGCAAACCUGAGUUAUCAGCUGCUACUGGAGUGCAAAAUGUUGUAGUUUACGUUUCCGACGCAAACUUCGGCCAAACGUAUGCAGUUGGCCAGCAGAAUGUUUCACCUUUCAACACGCAAACAUCCCAUAAUGCGACAGUGGCAUACACCAACUCAUCACAUUCACUGGCCCCUGUGGAAGGGACGACCAAGACAUUUCCAGAAAAAAUUCGUUUACUCAAACCGUACACGCUUAACGGACAGUUUGUUAAUGAAUCGGAGGGAUAUUUCUCAAAUAACACGCCGCCUGUGAUAUCGGAGAAUGGUUUUCCGCAAACGUGCGCGACAAAUAUUAUAAAUAACAUAACCGAAUUUCAAAACGUAAAUGUAAAUAAUGGUACGGUUUUAAAUCAAAGUAAUUUUACGAGUACGUCGAUCAAAAACUUAGUCAAUUAUGGUGGCAAUAGUUCCGAAAUAUCAACCGAGAAAACGCCUGCUCCAGGCCGGCUCGAAGUUAGAGUACGCGAGGAAUGUGAUAUCCGUGAAGGUUACUCUUCCGCGGAUUCGGGUUAUGUGAGUGUUAUGGGUGGUGAUGGACCUUGCCAAAGUGUACGGUGUGAUUCAGUGAGAUCGGAAACUGCGGAAUCAAGUUGUAGUAGUUUAAGUUCUGCAGAUGAAGGAUUAUUUGUGAUUCAACCGCAAAGAUCUGAAAUGGUUGUUUAUGAUGGGAAUGUAAGCGUUAGGCCGGGUGGUGUUGUACUUGCCGUAGGAUCGCCCGAUACUCCUCAAGUGCAAUCCUCGAAUAUACCACUUGUACGAACUGUUCCAGGUCCCCCACCAUUGUAUGUCACUGUACCAUAUGGUUGGAAACGGAUACUUAACAAUGGAGUUGUUAUUUAUAUCAGUCCCAACAAUACCGCCUUGAGUUCCUUGGAUCAAGUGAAAGAAUAUUUAUUGACUCCUGGUACAUGCAAAUGCGGAUUAGAGUGUCCUUUGAAGUAUGAUACUGCGUUUAAUUUUGAUCCUAAGGUUUUUGGAAAGCCUUGGACUUUAUCUCAAGAUACAUCUUCCAUGGAUUUAAAUAAACUUUGUAACCAUAAAAGGAAAAUUAUUUCAAUGCUUUCAUUAGGGGACAAACAAUCGGAUCCUAUCAAAUUCCGGAAAGAUAUUUCAACAAAACGAAAGAAACGACGAAUCGGUAGCCCAUAUUCUGGCGUUUCAGUAUCUCAGCUUUUGGCACAACGUGAUAAAUUAGCUUUAUCCCAUCCAGUUCUAUGCAAAGGAAAUAAUUUAGGUUUUCCUAAUCAAGUUUGGCCUAAUGUACCUGGAAAUAAUGCACAGCAAGUCCACAAUCGAGAGUUCCCAGAUGGAAUACCUAACCAAAUUCCCCAAGGAUCUAAUUUACAGUUUUAUAGAUAUCAAAAUCAAGAAGCAUCCGUGAAUAGAGUACUCAUGGAUCCUCAGGCUAGUGGCGAUUCAAUGCAUUUGCAAACAUCUUCGAAUCCAAACAUAUCACGACAUCAGCAACAUUCAACACCACCUUCACUAUUUCAUGCGGUUCCCAAUUAUAUGAAACAGUGCGAUGUUCCUAACCCUUCACAAAUUCAACUACAUCAGCAACACAUCGUUGGUGCAAAUGGUCAAAUCAUAAGUCUUCAAAAUCCAGUUUAUCCGAAUGUUUCUCAUUUAAACAAUGGUGGUGGUGGAUCCAUGGGUAAUAAUCCUAAUGGAAUUAUUAUACACGACCCAACCGUAAUAACAAAUCAAGAACAACACCAAAAAUUGUUUGUCAAUAGUCCAAGUAUCGAAUCAAGUGGACCAGGACGGCCAAGUAUGCAGGCAUUACCUAUUGUUCAACCUGCACCACAAAAACAAGACGGUAAUCGAUUACAACAACAGGCCUUUUGCAGCGAAUCGUUUCAUUACCAAGGUGUAAUGCAACAUUUUGAUGGCAACAAAAAUGUGAGGCCAUCAUUUGUUCCUGGGAAUUGUACAGUUAAACCAGAUCCACAGUACAAUCCUAUAGUUCAGCAAAGUAAUCAAAUGACUAUCCAAAAUGCUAGUGCCCCCAUUCUUGUACACCAAAAGGAGAAGGCAUUAUGGCAAAGUCGACCACAGAAUAGCAUAUCAAACUCUGUUCAUAUUAAUCAAUCAUCUUUAUCUCCACAAGUCAAAUCUCAAACAGGGAAUGCAGAAGAACGAGUCCCACCAAUUUACCAACACACACCUUCUGUAUCGGUAUGGUCCGAUGACAUUGCGCGAAAAAAAGUGAAGGUGUCUAAAAACAUUAAGAAAAGACAAUUUGAAAACUCCCGGGUAGUUCAAGUAGAAUCUUCAUGCUCUAAUGUUGAUACUAGACAGCAAGCCAAUGAGAGUGAAAGAACGGCAAUUUCGGAGGAGUCUCCACAAAGCACUCCAAAUUCAUCUAGUCCAUCUUUUAUGGAAGAUCCUAGCGGUUACCUAGCACAACAAACUGCACUUCUAAAUAGUACCAUAUCAAGACAAAUGGGAAUGAAUAGCUGUGGAAAUUUCAUGUGUAGUAGUCCAGUCACAUCGGUUCAAAACACUCAAGUGCAACAUUUGUCGAGUUCUGAAGUAAAUGAAGUGCCUUUGCCAAGCAACAUUUAUGUAUCACAAGUCAAACAGAAUUCAAACAAAUUCAAUCAAAAUGUGCCCGAUCCUAAUAAUACAAAAAUGUUACACAUUUCUCAAAAUUCUGUGCCACAGCAGUAUAAUCAAACAAUUAUGGCAAAGGGACCAGCAGAUAGCACAGAUCAUAUACAGUGCCAAGUUUGCAUUGCCGAUACCGCCCAUUAUCAACAACAAAAAGUUGUGGAUCCAUCCAAUCCAUAUCUUACCAAAGAAUAUUUUCAAGGUAAUAGAGUUUUUGAUCAAGGUAGAUCAAAUGCGAACAAUCCAACUUCGUCAAAUGUAUUGGAUGAUCCCGUAACAUCAUCGACGUAUAUUGAUAAACAACCAAGCGAUGGAGAUUCCCCAGAUUCGAGGCCUAUUCAAGGAGGAACCAUUAGCACUAGUAACAUCUCGUCAUCGGAUUGUUCUCAAUCUGAGCCUUCAACACCAAACCCUCACACGCCCACAACACCUCAACCUAUAUUUUCUGAUACACCACAUCAUAAUGUGACGAGUAUGGCAAAUGUGCAACAGUCUUGUCCGGUGGAAGUAACAUUUCCUUCUUCUUACAACAACCCUUCAAGACCAAGCGAAUAUGUAAACCCGCAUCAACAAUCAAUGGCUGUGUCAAGAAUUGGUAAUUUAGGUUUAUCACAUCCUGGCGUUAUUACCACUAUGGCAAGCGGACGAACCGUUAGUUGUAACACAAUAACGUCGGUUUUAGCUGGCCGGGCCAAUACAUCGACCGUUUCUGUGAAUAGCCCAGUAAAUAUUCCAAUGAGCACGGUUCCUUCGGUAUUUACAAAUCAAGAUUCUCUAACCAUGUCAUCCAUUAAUGUACCGUCACAACCCAUCACUAAAUCUCCUCUGGAAAUGGUUCAAAGUGUGGUUAGCAGCAUUCAAGUACCGCAGUCUCAUAACACUUCGGCUGGAAGUAUUCAGCAACACAAUCAGCAAAUAUCGCCGCUUCAAAUUAUCAAACACUCACCUACGCAAGGUUUACCUCCCGGUCACAUUUUGGUGUCUUCUGGAGGACAGUUGAUAAUGGCAAGUAGCAGUAGUGGACCAAAUGUGAUGCCUCCACCUCUACCAAAGAUUGUUACAAAUCAAAAUUCUAUGCCUCCGAUAUCAGUGUCUCCUAUGGUUACAAAUGUUACGGCUUCAGUUACUCAAGUUAUACCGGCAGUUGCCCAGCAAGUGUUAGGGCAACAGACCGUUUUGGUAAACGCUUUGCCCGCACCUUUUAUGCUUCAGCCGGGUGUGACCAUGACAAUGGAUGGUAUGGCAGUUGCUCCCAACGUUCAAAUACCACAUUUAGUAGCUGGAAAUGUAAUUCAACCACAGCUUCAAGUCGACGGCUCUGAUCCUAAUCGUGUUUUAACACGGACCACUGCAAUUUUAUCACCUGACGCAAAGAAGAAAGGAAAGAAACGAAAAAUGCCUUCACAAACUAUCGCAUCAAUGUUACAAUAUGCAUCACAGCAGAAUUCUGGUGUAGUAAUGUCUCAACCUAGUUUCCCUCAACAAAUUCAAAUGGCACACAGCCCUCAAGGUUUAACUUCCGGUCCAGUUAUGCAAGCUUUAACCAUUGUUCCUGGAAAAACGGGCGCACCAACCCAAAUUGUAAUGAAUGGUCAAACGGUCGGUAACACAAGUCAGUUUGGUCCACAACAGCUGAUAACAAAUUCCAAUCAAACCCCACAGAUUAAUUUACUGCAACCCGUUAAUUUGAUCAAUAGUACCACAGGUAUGGUUCAAAAUUUCCCUACUAUACAACAGUUUAUUGUACCAAAUUUGGGAGGUAUGGUUAUGAAUGCGGACGGAACAGCGACCAUUCUUCCCGACACUUCUAAUUUGGGUAUGCAUCUACAAAUUCAAAAUGUGAAUGGGCAGAAUGUUUUAACGCCCGUGCAGAAUAAUAAUGUAUUUGGAGGUGGGCAAGGUAUUCUCGCGGCUGGUCCUGCAGGAAUGGUUAUUCGUACACCAAAUGCUUCACAAGGGAAAAUUAUACAACAGCAACACAGUCCAGGUGCGCAAUUUCUGUCUCCCAACGGAAAUCAGUUUGUAGUAAAUGGUGCCCAGUUUAGUGGCCAACUUAGUCCUCUUAUAACAAAUGUGAACCCGGCACAAGUUACUUUUAGUGCUGCGCCUCAAGCAAUUCGGCCUAAUGGAGCUGUUCAACAAAAUCAGCCAGAGUUUAUUCAGUGUGGUCAAGUGGGCCAAACUUUAGUUGUGCCAGCAGGGAACAUCACCGUGUCUACGGCAAACCAGCAGAAUACUACAUUUGUUCAACAAAAUACCACAAUUGUCCAACAACAAACCACCAUGGUUUCUAAUAACCAACACCUACAAAACAUGCAAGCAAGUAAUCAAAAUAAUCCGAAUGUUGCUAGUCGAACAACUACAUUGAAUGUAGAUCAGAACUUAAUUUUGAACGCCAAUGAUAAUCGUUCUCUGCAGGCGGUGCUCAUGCAGGGACAAAAUGCGCAGCUGUCCUCUGCAUCGUAUCGUCAUUCAGUUUCUACUCAAACAGCUGUAAAUCAAAAUAAUCAAGCUGUUACCACCAAUACAUUUUGUCAAACAUCUGCGUCUGCGGGUAGUCCCCCUGAUACUACUACUCUCAGUCCCCUCGCUCAGGAUGUACAUCGGCCACCUACCGCUGACACCACAACUCACAUGGAAAAUAAUGAAGACGGUUUAUCCCCAACUCCAUCAUGUAUCGAUAUAAAUGUGUUACAAGCUGGGUCAAAUUCGUGUUCGGUGGCAAUGGUGGAUUGCAUAUCUAGUAGUGAACCUGAUUCAGCGGACAACAGAGAGCACAGUUGGCCGCAAGUCCAUCCCCAGCCGAAAUUGGAAUUUACCGAGGUCAGUAGCGGCGAAGAUGAGUUACAGUUGCACACAACAAGAAAAUCGAAUAGUCCCAUACACAUUGAAUACCCGGAAUCGUCGACGAUGGGUUCCGAAAUUCACUACACAAAGGAACACAUAAAUCUUCAGGAAUCGACAGUUUCUUCUAAGAACGCUGAUAAAAUGUCCCAUAAGCAGAAGCACGCGAAUAUAGGGAUAGUUCCGGAAAGUAGGCAUAUAUAUUUGUCUCUCUUUCAGGAUGAAAAAGUUACCAUAGGGGCUGUGUGGUCAUAUGGCGAAAGUACGUGUUUUGUACACUUUGAGCCUAAAAGAGUUUAAAUAUUAGUUUGAAGGAAAUUUUAGUUAAGUCCUCCCACUAAGAAUUGGUUAGAAAUUGCCAACUAUCCACCAACUUAAAGAUGAGGCAUGCUCUGCAAAAAGGAACUGUGAUAAACAUAACCACCCAUUACGCAAAAUGUGGUGAAAAAAGGCAACAAGGUGAUUAUGAAGUAGAUGGGAUUCUGUUUACUAUUAAGUCAAAGAAGUUUACUUCAUUAAAUUUUAUUGGACCAACAUCGAAUAAUUAUUUGGAAAACUAUUUAUACAUUUCGGUUCUUAGGUGAAACAUAUUACACAAUAGCGCAAUACUGUGUAUAAGGGCGCCGAUGUAUUCUAAUUGGUGAAGUUUCCUAAAUGGUAAUAAUAAUAAUAGUAAAUAUUACAUUAUGGUUAUAUAAUGAAAAUAUUUUUAAAAUGCCUUUUUUAAAUUAGUGUAAGUGGGCACGUGGAUAUAAUAAUUUUGUUUGCCUAAUGUUUAAAAUUUAUUAUUAAUACAUACUAGUUUUAUUAUGUAAAAUCAUAACGUAAAUUGGGCUUUCAAUAAUCUUUGUCUAUUUAGAAUGUAUUUAAAAUAGAACAUAGAAUAUGAAGUAUAAAUAAACUUAUAAUGAUUCUUAUAACUGUAAUGAUAUAGAACAGGCCACCAGUACAUUUUGUAUUUUCUAGUCAAGCAUCUGAGCAGACGUUUGUAAUGACAAUAACAUUAUUAUUGGGUUCGUUAAUUUCGUACUGUGAUAUGCAGGUAUAAGUACACACAGUUAAAUAUUUCUUAAGUUUGCGUAUAUGCAUGCAGCUAUCAUUCAUUUGUUGUUAUAGUAUAUUAUAGCUUUUAAAAAGUAACCAUUUACAGCUGAAUUGUACUACGUUGGUUCUGUAGCUUUGAUAAUCUUUUGUGAAGUUUGAUGAUUUUAUAGCUUUGCACAUUUUAAAUCUAGUCUGUGGUUCUAAUGCGACAACUUUAUUGUAUUGCAAACAUUUUUUGUUUUUAGUUCUAUGUAAAAAAUCACUAGCGCUCGAUUACGUUCUUUCCCUGAAACCAUACGGCACAAGUAGCUUACAAAAUAUGGUCUGUUUGGGUAAUUGUCACUGUAAUUUACUUUCAAAAGCAGUAGUUAGAACUACACCAUUGUCAUUGGAGCGAUUUUCGCAGAAGUAUGGUAAAGGACAAUUCAUUUAUCAAACACAAUCUCCUAAUCUACCAACAGUAAAUUCUAAUUGAACAACCAAUAGAAAGAGCAAAGAAAAUCCCAGUGUAGUAAAUUGUGUAACAGUUUUUAUUGUAAAACUAAGUUUUACUAUUUAUGUAUUAGAAUACAAUCUGACGAAGUUAAUUUUAGUUCAUUUGAAAAGUAGUUUUCUUUAGCAAUGUUCCCACUUCUACUUUAAAUAAAGGCAUUGUCUUCCUUAGUGAUGUACUCCAAAACAACAGCUGCCAAUAGUAUUUUUGGAACACAUACGUUUUGAGUUAAACGCAGUUUAAAGUUUGUUGCAUGUUAUUAAUUUGUUGAGCGUGAUAUGGCCACAUGAUUCAACAAAGAGACCAUUAGUAAUUGCCAUUGGAGAUCAAUUACAAGAGCUUAUAGAACUCGAUCCUCCCGAAAUUAGGUACCUUUUCAUAGUUAAAAGUAUAGCAGAAAUUUAAAUCGAACAUGGAUAUAGUAAAUAACUAACAACAACUUUAAAAUUGCAACCACAACUUUUAUUUAACACUAUCGUAACCGAAUCUUUCAGAUUAGCUUAACAGUGUUGAAGGGGCCGAUUUUAGAAGGUGUCUUAAGAGUUUACAGAGCCUUUAUUUCAGUUGUAGAAAAAUGUAGUGUUUUUAACUUUGACUACAAAUUUACAAGCAGUUGAUUCUUAACAUUAUUUGAACCUAUAUCACGCUUUAUGUUUUGCAACAUACGCUGUGAUGUCCCUUUUCACAAACGAUGAUUAAUCACCGUUUGUGAACCACGCCUGAGAUAAUUCAAUCUUGCUACACUAAUUUCUUAGGCUGUUGAGUUCUAUCUACAUUCUAGUAGCUUUUUGAAAUCAAUUCCCCUUAGAAACAAAAAUGGAAAAAAUUAAAUUAAGAAAACCAUUUUUGACAGCAGAAUCAAUAACUUUCUUUAGUGGUAAAAUUGCGUAACAUAAGGUAAACUAUAACACAUGAAGCAACUAUUUAAUUAUAAGUUUUUCUACAAUAAAAAAUAAAGACACUGUAACAGAAUUCAAAAUCUUCCAUUUGAAGGACUGCAAAAGGGCUGUUGGCAGUUGGCAACUUUGCAAGAAUUGCUUUAAUUUACUUUGUAUCUAUAAUAGUACUAGUAAUAAAAUUAUCCCAGUGAUUAUACCAAAGAAAUCAAACUGUGCCACUUAUUUUUCUUUUUAGUAAUAUUGUUUAAAUACUAGUAUUCUUAUUGUUUUCACAAAAGUUUUGUUUAAUUUCUCAUUCCAGUGAUUUCAUUAUUAUACAGCAAAGCUAUAAAGUUAAUAAUUACAGUUAAUUACAAGUUAAAGUGAAAAUGCAGCUUACACCAUCGGGUGAUAUCAACAUCUCCUUUUAUCUUUUGCAUUAUAAAUAUUGCUUAAUUUGAUUUGUUUUUUAUAUAAACAAGCCAUAUGUUUUGGCCAUUUUAUUUUACAAAUAUCAGUUAUAUUUGUAUAAAAAAUGUAUUUGUAUAUAAGGUUUGGUCUACUUUGCUGAAUUAGUUGUACAUUUAUUAUGUUUCAAAUUACUUUAGUGAACCAUAAUUUGUAAAAUAUUCAAGUAGUUAUGGAUUAUUAUAAAAGGAUGUACUAUAUUUUUAUAUAUGUAUUUAUUGUUUACUUUAAGUUAUAUAGAAUUGCUUAUUUAUUGUAUAUUUAUAUUGCAAAAAAGAGGUUUAUAUGCUUUAUGUUUUAUUUAUUUCUAAUUUUCGACACAUCACGUUGCUGAAGUUACAUCAAUCGAAAUAGAUAAGCUAUUAGCUGAAAGUUUUUGUGCAUUUUAUAAUGGUAUUAACAUAUAUAAUUUAUAUUUCCUUUUUGUAAAUAUUUUUAGAGGUACCUGUUUCUCUAUGUCACUGAUUUCUAUUGUAAUUCUGUGUAAUUGUUAAUUACUCUUGUAUGGCUGGUCUUGUACAAAUAUUGCAAAAUGUGCUCACGCCUGCAAGAAUGAUUACAAGAAAAUAUAAUACAGUGUUAGCGCUACUUCAUCACAAGCAGUUGGCUAUGUGUGGUAGCACACCAUCUACUGUUUGUAAAUAUAUUGUAUUAACAAUACUAUUUGGCCUGCUAGUUGUUGAACAUUUUGUCAGCCCAAUAAAUACUGAACUAAUAUUUCA